AUUGACUCUUGUCAAUAAUGACUAUUCACAGGGGAAAGAGGUCAUUCUCCAACAGAAGAUAAAUCCCAAUUGAUUUUUUUUUAAGUACAUCAUGGAAGAAAGAACAUUUAUACUUAUUUAUGAACUCUAAGCUCUGGUUGUCGCAGACAAUACUCCAGGUGGACCCCUGCCUUGUCCCCGCCUCCUGUGUUCACACCUGGAGCCUGGAGGGGAGGGCUCUUUGUUUUGGGAGAUGCCCACCCUGAAGUACUUAAAGGAUCCAGACACUCUCGUCUCCCAGACAGGGAAGCAGAAUCAGGACCCCCUGGGACCUUCACCUCUGCAGAGCCUGACCUCAGAGAGCCAGGUAAGAGGGUCACCUCCCCAGGGGACAGAAGUUACAGUAGUGGCCGGCUGAGCUGAGCUGAGUAGAAGGGGACAGUCCACUGCGCCGUCUGAGCGUAGGGCCCCGAUGGCUGCAGGGAGGCCCCGACUGUCUUCGUCUGUCCCACAAGAGGCGGCAGACUCUGCAGCAUCCUUCGUGC
rnacentral:lncRNA from 1 species